GGGUUGUCAUGCCAAUGGCACUGCCGUAGCUAAAUGCGAAGAGAUAAGUGCUGAAAGCAUCUAAGCACGAAACUUGCCCCGAGAUGAGUUCUCCCUGAGACUUUAAGUCUCCUGAAGGAACGUUAAAGACGAUGACGUUGAUAGGCCGGGUGUGUAAGCGCAGCGAUGCGUUGAGCUAACCGGUACUAAUGAACCGUGAGGCUUAACCUUAC
rnacentral:rRNA from 1 species